ensembl:lncRNA
AUAGUAAUGUGUGGAUGUCGUGGAACAACCUACCUGGAUGAAUAAAUAUAGUAAUUUGUGGAUGUCGUGGAACAACCUACCUGGAGGAAUAAAUAUAGUAAUUUGUGGAUGUUGUGAAACAGGAAAUAGUCAUGCCCAGAUAGAUAAAAAUGCUCUUGUAUGUUGAUAUUGUUCGCUGGUACUCAGUGUCAGUGUAAUAUCCAUUUUUUAUUUGAAAAAUAACUUCCAUAAAUCUCUGUACUCAACCAUACUUCACCAAGACAUAGCCUUGGCAUAAACACAUUGCACCAAAACAAAAGAAAGAAAAGGCAUUCAAAAGGGUAAAUAACAUGUCUUUGUCAUCAUGUGAGACAUUAUUCCUAUUCCAAAAUAUUGUCAUCUAUUUGUGUUUGCUUGUUUUAUUCAAAUUUCUAAUAUGUACAAUGUAAAUCAAAAACGAAAGUAUAUAGCUUGUUAUAGCGACAAGAUAUUGGAUGGACAUUAGAAUGUAUUGGUUUAACAUGGAAAAGGAAUAACGUCUCAGUUUAUUUUCAUUCAGACAUAACUGUAAGAUUCAUAUACCUCCCAUACACAAGAAGCAUUUACAAUUACUAAAAAUAAAAAAUAAACUGGUCUUGGCUUAUAAAUAAACUAAUAAAAAUAUAUGAAAUUAAUUAUAUUUUCACCAAAAAAAAAAAAAAAAUCAUAUUGCAUGGCAAUAUCCCAUGUUGUUUGACCUUGUGUUUUGCUCAUCCUCACAAACAGUGCCUGAACUACACAGCAAUAUACAGUACAUAAGUUGUAUGUUUGCCACUUCUUGCUUGGAUAUAAAUAUCCUUCUUGCUGUACCAAUACAGAUUAUUUUUGCAUGUUAGUUAACAAUACUAAAAUAAAACACACUCGCAACCAUAACUUUUUUUGUCAACCUCCAAUGAAUAUAAAAUAUUUUUCCUUGUCAUUCUUUUUGAAAAAGUGGAAAUAAAAUAUGAUCUAGGGGUUAGUGGAAUGUUUUGUUAAAACGUUUUAAUAGUUUGGCCAUGAAAGUAACUAAUGAAUUUUCUGUAGAAUUCAAUUGAAG